UUCAGAUAAUGUCACUGAAGCUAACAGGUGACGUUAGCUUCAGUGACGUUAGCUUCAGUGACGUUAGCUAUAGUUCAGAUAAUGUCACUGAAGCGAACAGGUGAAGUUAGCUUCAGUGACGUUAGCUAUAGUUCAGAUAAUGUCACUGAAGCUAACAGGUGACGUUAGCUUCAGUGACGUUAGCUAUAGAAAGUUAGCUUCUUUGAAAGUUAUCUUUCAAACAUUGUGUGUGUAAUUCAACACAAUAAAAAACUUGAAUCCAAACAUGAGUUGCCUUUGGCCGCCAACUAAUGUACAUAUUUAACAAGUUGCCGUGGCAGUCCAUCAGAAGGGGCGGGGCUUAGACUCUCUGUAUAAGGGAGUUCAUUUUAUGAUUUAAGUUCCUCUGAGAACAAACUCAGGUGACAGAAAAUGUUUCUGAACCCUGAAGAGCUCGUUUCACCGUGUACGAGCUGACGCAGCAACACGAGGUCAGCGUGUCUCACCUGGUCACUCACCUGAGGACCCGUCCUGUGUCCUGAUGAAUAAAAGACGCUGCUUCCUCUG